GAGGGGGAGGACCUGAGGUCACUGUGGGGGGAGCUCUCUCUGUGCGCCAUCACAGAGCUCGAUCCACUGAAACAGCAGAAUGUCCCACAGUGCCCUGCAAUGAGAGGCAGGCUCAUCACGGACAUCCCGGCGCUGCCAUGGUUUCAGAACUCCAUCUGUAUCUGCCUCUCUGUGGUGAUGAGGAGCAAGAGACAAAGGAGCCAUUACUCAUGAGGUCUUCAGCAGAGGAGACCACUGCUCAGGAGGUCCCGUCAUCACCGGGGUGUUUCCCACCCACACAGCAGCCAGGACAGAGUGGGCUCCACAGCCCCCCAUGAUGCUCCCACACACUCCCAUGCAACCAAAAAAACGAAUCCUGCAUGUAGUGUCUAGCAGCCGGGACAGUGUGUAUACUUCCAUAGUUGAUGGGUAAUGAUCUUUGUCUAAAGGGAGGUUAGAAGAAAUGAAAGCUUCAUUUGGUUGGAUUCUGUGUCAUUUAUGGCCUAAUAAAGCCUUGAUUUGUCAGUGUGAAGAGGUUUUAAACAGUCACAGAUGUCAUACCUGAACUACACCAUAUACAGUAUGCCUCACUUUGACAUAAAAAAAGUGCCUACAGGCGUCAUGACAAACAACUGUUUUUCUAGUUAAUACCUGUGGCCUUUGCACAUGUUUUCUAUACUAAAUACAUAUUUUUUCUUAGGAUUACAAUAAAGUGUUUUCAUGUGCUACAAACAUUAAUGUAUUAGUUUUUGCACUACAGUGAAUCCAUUCAAUCAAUUGUUUCAGGUAUUUGUGGAAAGUUUGUUUUCUUAUCAGCUAAGGGGUGUCAUGUUCA